UCUGUAUUGCGACGAUAGAGGUGAAAUUCUUGGACCGUCGCAAGACAAACUAAAGCGAAAGCAUUUGCCAAGAAUGUUUUCAUUGAUCAAGAACGAAAGUUAAAGGUUCGAAGGCGAUCAGAUACCGCCCUAGUUUUAACCAUAAACGAUGCCAACUAGCAAUCCGCCUGAGUUUCUUAUUUGACUCGGCGGGCAGCUCCGGGAAACCUAAGUCCGGUUCCGGGGAAAGUAUGGUUGCAAAACUGAAAUUUAAAGGAAUAGACGGAAAGGCACACCAGAAGUGGAGCCUGCGGCUUAAUUUGACUCAACGCGCGAAAACUCACCUAGUCCGGACACUGGAAGGAUUGACAGAUUAAGAGCUCUUUCUUGAUUCGGUGGAUGGUGGUGCAUGGCCGUUCUUCGUUCGUGAAGCGAUUUGUCAGAUUGAUUUCGGUAACGAACGAGAUUCUAACUUGUUAAAUAGAUGGCAUGUUAAAAAAUCAUAUGCCAAGUAACUUCUUAGAAGGACAACUUGCGUGUAGCAAGA
rnacentral:rRNA from 1 species